rnacentral:lncRNA from 1 species
AGUGUUUAUCAUUAUUAUAUUUUUAGUUUUAAGAAUACUAUAAUAACAUAAAAUAUAUUUGGAAAAUUUAUGUAAGUCCUAAAAAAUCCUUUAAAAUCCUCCUCCAUUACAAAUUUUGAAUUCUACAAAUUAGGGGUUUUUCGGUGUUAGGAAUAAAAACAAACCCUCCAAAACCCUCCCAACCAAAAUCCUUCGAUUCUUUCCACUCAAUCUUUCCCUUUUUUCAAAGCUCUCUCCUUCCUUCCCCUUCAAACUCACAAACAAACCUUUAAGAAUCAUGUAUGUAUUAGUCUCUCAUUAGAUUAUGUAAUUUAGUCUAUAAAAUCUUCAUAAUUCUAAAGAACCAUUCAACGAUUAUUGUAGUAACUUAUAAAAUUAAUCAAUUUCAAAAGUUGAUAGACUAAAGGAUAAUCAAAUAGACUAAAGUAUUAACAAUAUAAAUUUUAUUAUAGUUUCAACCAAAUUAGUUGGACAAAAUCCACUUAGAAUCCCCCCACACAAAUUUAGUGAAUUUUUCCUUGUUAAAAAAAGAGAAC